GUGCCCUUUUAAGGUUGAUUCUGUAUUUUAAGAGGCCCACACAGAAUGGUAAAGUAAGCCUCCAUAAAACCUGGAGAGGAGAUCCUCUUUGGAUUUGUCUGAAGUCACAGCU
rnacentral:snoRNA from 1 species